rnacentral:rRNA from 1 species
UGGGGGAUAUUGCACAAUGGGCGAAAGCCUGAUGCAGCGACGCCGCGUGGGGGAUGAAGGCCUUCGGGUUGUAAACUUCUUUUGCUCUGAACAAGGCAUGCUAAUGGGUGUGUUGAGUGUAGGGGUUGAUUAGCGCCGGCUAACUACGUGCCAGCAGCCGCGGUAAUACGUAGGGCGCGAGCGUUGUCCGGAAUUAUUGGGCGUAAAGGGCUUGUAGGUGGCUGGUUGCGUCUGUCGUGAAAGCUCAUGGCUUAACUGUGGGUUUGCGGUGGGUACGGGCUGGCUUGAGUGCAGGAGGGGAGGGUGGAAUGCCUGGUGUAGCGGUGGAAUGCGCAGAGAUCAGGAGGAGUGCCGGUGGCGAAGGCGGGUCUCUGGGCUGUUACUGACACUGAGGAGCGAAAGCAUGGGGAGCGAACAGG